UGUCAAGCCAGCCAUGCUUCACUGAACUCCCUUCCACUUUGUUGCCAUGCUUCCUCUUUCUGGUUAAGUGAACCUCAAAACAAUGACAAAGAAAUAUGCCCCCGAGUCACAUAUUCUAAGAAAUAGACUGUACUCUCCUCAAAUCGAAAUAAAGGCACUUUAAUUCUUUGGAUUUUUCCACAUUUUCGUUGCUAAAGCUCCUAUUUGCUUUCUUUGAAUCUGUAUCAGUUCAUGCAAGUUCUACCAGGGGGGGAAGCGACACAAGACCCUGCCACUUUAGCACGUGAAAUAUUAAGAUGAACAGAGCCCGUAAAAGGUUUUGAUUGCCACUUUCAAGAAACCCUUAGUCAUUGAUUAGCCAAUUACGGAUCGCAUUUCCAAAGGUGGGGAACCUGGAAAUAUUGAAUGUCCUCUGAGUUCAUGGGGCUUUGGCAGUGGGAAAGCUAAACAAAACGGAGCACAGAGAGAGUGUGAGACAGACUUUCCCAAGAUCCCCAGGUGGGUUUCAUAUACUGCCUACCUCAAGAGUGAGUCUGGUUCAGCUUCCCACAGUGGCCAUAAGGGCCAAAUUAUCUUACCCCAGCUAUUGUUCGCUGCUAGAGCCAGAUCUACAAAG
rnacentral:lncRNA from 1 species